rnacentral:misc_RNA from 1 species
GUUCGUGGUAUGUCCUUGGCGAUGGCUCGUGCAUGCCUUUCUCAUCGAUAGGUGCGAUGAGGGGCGUGAGAAAAGGCAUUCACCCUUUCUCAUCGUUCCACGUGCGUUGCUCGUGGAACCGAUGAUAACGGAUGGUGCGUUCUGAAAUAAGUGUGGCUGAUUCGGAGUUGCCUUGGUGCCGUGCGCACCUCUGCUCAUUCUUGGGCACGUUGCCUCUACAUUCGGUGCAACCUCGCUCCUCCGCUUGCUUCCAUCGGAUAGGUGGUGCUUGCGGGGGCAGCGUGCGGGUUGUUCUGAGGUUGUGUUACCUGGUUGAUCCUGCCAGUAGUCAUAUGCUUG